AGGUUGGAAGGGGAUUAAAAAUAACUCAACGCUAUAUUGAGGCUAUGAGACAUCAGCUGCCUUAACAGGUUCUGCUGGCUCUAGAAUGGCAUCACCAGGCUCCAUAGGCUCAACUUGAGGUUAUUGUCGAUCUGUUCCAGUUGGCCAUGGCUCGGAUUCUCUCCACCUCAACCAUUUCUUGCUCUCCUCCAUCAAGACUGAUCGGCUCAGGAGACCCUUCCAAUCACUCUGCAACCAAUAUGUUCAACAUAUUAAAAGACAUCUAUGCAUCAUACAAGAAACAGCACAAAUGAAUAUCAAGACUCAAAUACACAGUGACAUAGAUAAAAAUAUCAAUAGAGCUCGAAAUGUUAAAGUUUGAUGAUGACUCUUGCUCAGAAUUCGGGCUCUCCACCUGAGCUAAAAAAAUCAAGUACGCUCAGUAAUUAAACUCAUGAAGACAAAAUCGCCAGGACCAAAAUUCUUGAACUGCAUUAAAGAUAGUUUUUCUUACUUGCUCAGCUCCCUCUCUUUCAAAAUAUCUUUGGUUGAUAUCACCCAGCUCGAUUGGGCAAACGAAGCCCUUCAUGCCUUGUCACAAUAAAGAAUUUAUCUUGCCAAUUCUUUAUUAAUUGCGGAGUAUACUCCAGAAAAUAUAUCGCAACCCAGCCAAGCAGGUAAGUGUCAAUAAUCUCCAUUGGCUCUCUUUCCAUGGUAGAACAUCUUACUAAUUAUAAUUCUCUGAUUUAGGGGAAUUUCGUGCAAAAUGGAAAGAACGGCCAAACCAGUAUACUCCUCCUGGCAUUUGGUCCCCACUAGCUAGGUGAUGAGUCUGUGUCCUUUAAAAUUUUGACAAUGAAGCUUUUGUAAGGGAAAACAGAGUCCUACAUCAGAUCUUCUUCGUAAAUAAUGAUGCCAUUUCU
rnacentral:misc_RNA from 1 species